rnacentral:rRNA from 1 species
AGCAUAUAAGUAAGCGGAGGAAGAGAAACUAAAUAGGAUUCCCUCAGUAAUGGCGAACGAACAGGGAAGAGCUCAGAUUGGAUAUCGGGGCCUGUGGCUCCGAAUUGUAGUCUCGAAAUGCAAUGCCAUCGGGGGCGCAGAUUUAAGCCUCUUGGAAGAGAGCGCCGGCGAGGGUGAGAGUCCCGUUCGUCAAUUUGCAGUCCUCCGUACACGGCUUGCACUUGUUGAGUCACGUUCCUCGGGAUUGGAGCGCAAAUAGGGUGGUAAAUUUCAUCUAAAGCUAAAUAUAUGUUUGAGACCGAUAGCACACAAGUACCAUGAGGGAAAGAUGAAAAGGACUUUGAAAAGAGAGUUAAAAGUGCCUGAAAUUGCUGCAAGGGAAGCGGAUGGAACCAGUCCACGCGGUGAGAUUGUUGGGCGGAGGCGUGCGGGGUUGCACUUUCAACGAAAGUGGGGGUGUGAGUCUCAAUCGCCUUUCGCCUGAUGGUUCUUGCCGUGGGGGUCAUUGGUGAUUGGCAGCCGGGGAAACCUUCAAAGGCAUGGUAGCCCGUCUCCGGAUGGGUGAACGCGUUUGAUAGCACUCGGCCGCUGAUCAUAUCCGAGGUGUCCGGUAACUGGCGGCCUUGAGCGCAACGCGAGAACCAAUCGGUUCUUGCUGCGCGUUCGGCCGUAGGUCCUGACACACAUCUACG